CUACGGGCGGCACCAGUUAGGGAUAUUCGGCAAUGGGGGAAACCCUGACCGAGCAAUGCCGCGUGAAUGAAGAAGUAUUUCGAUAUGUAAAGUUCUGUUGUUAAGGAAGAAAGGUACGAAUAGGAAAUGAUUCGUAAUUGACGGUACUUAACCAGAAAGCCCCUGCUAACUACGUGCCAGCAGCAGCGGUAAUACGUAGGGGGCGAGCGUUAUCCGGAAUUAUUGGGCGUAAAGGGUGCGUAGGCGGCCUGUCAAGUCCGAGUUGAAAGCCCACGGCUUAACCGUGGAGGGUGCUCGGAAACUGAUAGGCUUGAAUCCAGAAGAGGCAAGUGGAAUUCUAUGUGGAGCGGUGGAAUGCGUAGAUAUAUGGAGGAACACCAGUGGCGAAGGCGGCUUGCUGGGCUGGUAUUGACGCUGAUGCACGAAAGCGUGGGGAGCAAACAGGAUUAGAUACCCGCGUAGUC
rnacentral:rRNA from 1 species